rnacentral:rRNA from 1 species
CUUCUACACSAAAAUUUUAUUUUAAUSCAACAUCGARGUCGCAAUCUCUCCUUUCGAUAUGAACUCUCAAGAAAAAUUACGCUGUUAUCCCUAARGUAAUUUAAUCUUAUAAUCUUCAAAUAARGAUCAAUUAACCAUAAAUCAAUGUUUAUUCUAAAAAAAGUUUAUUCAAUUUUUCAAUCACCCCAAUUAAAUUAAUUAUCAUAUAAAAAAAACUAUAUUCUUCUAUUUUUUAUUUAAAUAUUAAUAAAACUCUAUAGGGUCUUCUCGUCUUUAAUCUUUAUUUAAGCUUUUUAACUUAAAAAUAAAAUUCUAAUAAAUUUAAAUAGAGACAGCUAUUUUUUCAUCUAACCUUUCAUUCCAGCUUUCAAUUAAAAAACUAAUGAUUAUGCUACCUUUGCACGGUCAAAAUACCGCGGCCAUUUAAAAUUUUCAUUGGGCAGGCCAGACCUUAAAUUAUAUUCAAAAA